rnacentral:SRP_RNA from 1 species
ACAAUAAAGUAAAUUAAACUACUCCAGAGGUUGAGGCUGGCGGAUUGCUUGAGCUCAGGAGUUCUGGGCUGCAGUGGGCUAUGCCGAUUGGGGGUCCGCACUAAGUUCGGCAUCAAUACGGUGAUCCCCAGGGAGCUGAGGGCCACCGGGGUGAACCGGCCCAGGUCGGAGACGGAGCAGGUCAAAACUCCUGUGCCAAUCAGCAGUGAGAUAGUGCCUGUGAAUAGCUACUUCAGCGUUGCCUGAGCAAGACCCAGACUCUU